ensembl:lncRNA
AUUGGGCCACAAUGGCCGGGCGUCGCUGUCGUGCCUCACACAGUCGGGUGGCUCCUGGGAGGGUGUGACAUUGGGCGAGGCAGCUGUCUGCAGCUCAGACCAACCCUGAAGGAGCUGACAGCCGGAGACUGUCUGCUGACUGUACUUCCUGCCUCUGGGGUGCAAGAUCCUUCCUUGAAAGGGCAUCUGGAGGUGCAUCUGCACAUCUACCAUACAUGGCCACACCUGACUGCGAGGGAGUCUGAAAAAUGUGGUCCAGCCGCCUAAGAAGAGGAGAAAGCCGAGCCUGGUGACAGCUUAGCAGGCAGAUUCACUUUGGGCAGGAGUACCAGCAGCUUUCUUGACAAUCACAUGGGGAGAGCCAGUUGGAGGAAUGAAACCUUAUAGAGACAAGAUGAGCAGAGAGGUAGAGAAAGAAAACCAACUGUGAUGAGCCCCUUGCUCCAGUGUGCCUCAAGCCACCCGUAUCUCUGGACCUUCCAGUUACGUAUUUUCAAACCUCAAAAUGAAGAGAGGAAGUUGGAGUGAGUGAACCCAGAGUUCAGACAGCUACACCUCCAGCUCCCACCUGUGCUGACCAGCUCCUUCCCUGCCUCCUGCCCACACACCUCCAUCUGACUGGCUGCCAUAUUGGGCUGGGAAGAGAGAAAGGGGCAGAAGAGGAGAGAAUAAGGAAAAGGUAUUGCCUGGUGACCUUGGCCUUCCUUGGAAUGGACAGCUGGAAUAAAUACUAUCCAGAGAGCCUGCGGCUGUGGGUCCUGUCAAGCCCACCACACCCAGCACCACAAAUGCCAGCCCCCUGCAGGAACUCUCUGAGCACUUUGUGGGUAUCCAUCUCCCAGAUGACUUUCAGCCCGGUCUUGCCCACCUGGUCUCAACCUUAACUGUUUACCUGGGCUGGUCUCUGAGCAGAAUCCAUGGCUGCCCUCAAAUCAGGUUACGGCCACAGCCUCUGGGUAUUGACUCAUUCAAAGAUUACAGCAGCAUUUCUGUGGAACAUCAGUCUCCCGGGCUCCUCUCUGCAAAGGUUUGCACAGUCAUGCUCCUUUGGGAAAUGCUGCCAGUUACAUCCCGCUCUUGGAAAUUUGCAAUGCGCAUCCACGUAAUAAAUGCUGUUGAACCAAGCAGUCCUGGAAUAAAGAAAACCUCCUUAACUCUGUUUAAGCCAAGCUUCCAAUCUUAUUUUAUGAUUGUAUCAGGUAGGAUACAGCUGCAAGUGACAGAAACUCUGACUCAAAACUGAGAUAAACAAUAAGGACAUGGGUCCUUCACAAACCAGACGCUCAGCAAGGUAAAGCAGGUUUUGGAGAUUUCUCCUCCAGUUUUUCUGCUCUGGCGUUCUCAGUGAUGGCUUCCUCAUUAGGCCGAUCAAGACGGCAGUUCCAGGCAUCACAUUCAGGGCUGACACAUGGCAGAGGAAGAAGAGAGAGCAUUUCUUCCUGAGAAGAAACUCUCCCACAAGGACCGUGACAUCCAUUCAGGUCUCAUUGGCCAGAAUCACAUCACGUGUCCACUCCUGAGUCAGUCAUUGGCAAAAAGAAUGGCGUUUCCCUCUGACCAUUCGCCCUGAAGCUGGAGGUGAGUCAGCUUCCCUGAAGCAGGUGGCUGCGUGGAGGUGGAAUAUAUUCCUGAACAAAACUGGAGCUCUGUUGGGAAGGCAGCGCAGAAUGGGCAGGCAGUCAACAGUGUCCACUCCAACUGCAGACUCCCUUUCACACUUAACACCCUGUGAUGGCCAAUUCUAUGUGUCCACUUGACUGGUCCGCAGGGUGCCCAGAAAUUUGCUCAAACAUUAUUCCGGGCGUGUCUGUGACGGUGUCUCUGGAUGAGAUUAACAUCUGAAUCGGUAGACUGACUAAAGCGCAUUGCCUCCCCAAUGUGGGUGAGCUCAUCCAAUCCGCUGAAGACCUGAAGAGAAUGAAAAGACUGAGAAGUGAACUCCUCCUGCCUGACUACCUGAGCGAUGACACUGGUUUCUCCCAGUGUUUGAACUUUAAACAUCAGCUCUUCUUGGGUCUCCAGCUUGCUGACUGCAGAUCUUGGGACUUAUCAGCCUCCACUUCCUGAGAAUAAGUCUUUUCUUUUUACACAUAUAUACACAUAUGUGUAUGUGUGUGCAUGUUGUUGUUGUUCCUCUUUGAGACUUAGCACAAUAUGUGGUACUUGACUAGUGCUCAACAAAUGCUCGCGAAUGACUGGCUGACUGAUCUUCAUACCUAAGGAAACUGAAAUUCCGACAGGGUGAAGUGAGAAGCACAAUAUCACGUAGAAAGGAAGUGCUAGAACUUGGAACCUGGGUCUCCUGACUUCUGAAAUCAGGAGCUCUGCAUGACACCUAGAGGUUGCAUCCCACCAUGUGACAGCAUUCCUGUUACUCAGGUCAACAAACUUUUAUUGAACACCUAUUAUGUGCCAGACACUCUUCUGGGGAUCCAUGAUGAAGAAGACACAAUCCCUGCCCUCAAGGUAACAGAUUGCCUUCCCCUGGACCAAAGCCUCCAGCUGGCCUCCCUGCAUCCAGGCUUCUGCUCCUCCCAUCCAUCCCUCAGGGCACCACCAGAAUGACUUCUUGGUUUACAUGCUUCAAAAGCGAUGGCUUCCUGGGAAUAAUGUGCACACUCCUGGCCUUCCAUUGUGGUAACCCAUCCAUAAUCUAACUUCUCUUACCCACACAGACUCACAUUUGACCACUGGCCAACUCAACCUUUCUCACUGUGGGGACAAGACUGCUCACUGCCCCACAAACCACACAGCAGACUUCUUUCCAUCUCCACACCUUUGCUCCUUUGGUGCCUCCCAGCUGACAAACUUUCAUCACUUCUCAACUUGUAACUGGCAUGACCUACUUCAUUAGCUUGGAGUACAAGCAUAUUCACUUUUUCUUCCUCAAUUAAACCCUUGGAGGUCUUACAUGUUUCUAUUAGAAUUAUAUUUCCAUCUUUAUGAUCUCCUAAAAUUUGUACAAGAGUCCCACGAGCUUUCUA